GCAUUCCUGUGGGAUACAGAGGGCUCAGCUGCUCCAAGAUGAGGCCAUAUCCUUUGGCACCGGGUGGCAUUGGCCAUAGGCAGGGUGAGGAUCAGGAACCCAAGAGACCAUGCAGGUGACAAGUAUAAGAAGGAGUGGGUUUCAGGUAAGGCAUGAAUAGGAAUGAGGGUGGGGAUGGGUGUGUCUUGCUAAAGACUGCACAUCCUACCCAAAGACAUUCAAAUGCAUCACUUUUAAAAACACCACACUAGCUCAAUAACACCCAUCUGCCAGUGACUCAGAUUGGGCCAAAGACCACAGCUGACUCUCUCUUCUGUGGGUCUAGGGAUGGAGGGCAAGGGCGUGGGCAUCAGUGUGAAUCCUCCCCACAGUGUGAAGACUUACUCUAGGUGGUGCAUACAGGUAGUGCCCGAGCUCUUCUCCCAGUUUGCAGGUGUGAUGGCAGAGGGACACAUCAGCUCUUCUCUCCGGAUGCCCAGGCCCACAGCCAGGGCUGGCUGA
rnacentral:lncRNA from 10 species